CCCCAGUAAACGGCGGCCGUAACUAUAACGGUCCUAAGGUAGCGAAAUUCCUUGUCGGGUAAGUUCCGACCCGCACGAAAGGCGUAACGAUUUGGGCACUGUCUCAACGAGAGACUCGGUGAAAUCAUAGUACCGGUGAAGAUGCCGGUUACCCGCGACAGGACGGAAAGACCCCGUGGAGCUUUACUGUAGCCUGAUAUUGAAAUUCGGUACAGUUUGUACAGGAUAGGUAGGAGCCUUAGAAGCGUGAGCGCUAGCUUACGUGGAGGCAUUGGUGGGAUACUACCCUAAUUGUAUUGGAUUUCUAACCCGCAGCACUUAUCGUGCUGGGAGACAGUGUCAGGCGGGCAGUUUGACUGGGGCGGUCGCCUCCUAAAGAGUAACGGAGGCGCUCAAAGGUUCCCUCAGAAUGGUUGGAAAUCAUUCAUAGAGUGUAAAGGCAUAAGGGAGCUUGACUGCGAGACCUACAAGUCGAGCAGGGUCGAAAGACGGACUUAGUGAUCCGGUGGUUCCGCAUGGAAGGGCCAUCGCUCAACGGAUAAAAGCUACCCCGGGGAUAACAGGCUUAUCUCCCCCAAGAGUUCACAUCGACGGGGAGGUUUGGCACCUCGAUGUCGGCUCAUCGCAUCCUGGGGCUGUAGUCGGUCCCAAGGGUUGGGCUGUUCGCCCAUUAAAGCGGUACGCGAGCUGGGUUCAGAACGUCGUGAGACAGUUCGGUCCCUAUCCGUCGUGGGCGUAGGAAAUUUGAGAGGAGCUGUCCUUAGUACGAGAGGACCGGGAUGGACAUACCUCUGGUGUACCAGUU
rnacentral:rRNA from 1 species